UACGAAGGGGGCAAGCGUUGUUCGGAAUUAUUGGGCGUAAAGAGCUCGUAGGCGGUUUGUCGCGUCUGCUGUGAAAACUCGGGGCUUAACCCCGGGCCUGCAGUGGGUACGGGCAGACUAGAGUGCGGUAGGGGAGACUGGAAUUCCUGGUGUAGCGGUGAAAUGCGCAGAUAUCGGGAGGAACACCAAUGGCGAAGGCAGCUCGCUGGGACGGUACUGACGCUGAGGCGCGAAAGCGUGGGGAGCGAUCCGG
rnacentral:rRNA from 1 species